CCACAAACACCCCGGCAGAUGGACACCUCCUGGCCCGCCGGCCUCUGUACCCCUCCGAAAUGGGAGUACCGCAGCAUCCCACAGGAGCAGCCGCGCCCACCUGAUGAGCACAGAAAAGCAAGCAGAAGAGAAUAAAUAUUGCUCUCAACUGGAACUCCCUGAAACAACCUCUUGGAAUAUUGUUGCCCCGCAUUGCACUGACACAGGAGCGUGCUGGGCAGCCCACGUGAUUCCCUUCACACCACUUCCCUGG
rnacentral:lncRNA from 1 species